GGGCCCGCACAAGCGGUGGAGCAUGUGGUUUAAUUCGAUGCAACGCGCAGAACCUUACCUGGGUUUGAACUGCUACGGACCACCCUGGAGACAGGGUUUUUCUUCGGAACUGUAGUGGAGGUGCUGCAUGGCUGUCGUCAGCUCGUGUCGUGAGAUGUUGGGUUAAGUCCCGCAACGAGCGCAACCCUUGCCCUUAGUUGCCAUCGGGUAAUGCCGAGCACUCUAGGGGGACUGCCCGGGAUAACCGGGAGGAAGGUGGGGAUGACGUCAAGUCCUCAUGGCCCUUAUGCCCAGGGCUACACACGUGCUACAAUGGCCGGUACAAAGGGCAGCGAAGCCGCGAGGUGGAGCGAAUCCCGAUAAAACCGGUCCCAGUACGGAUUGGAGUCUGCAACUCGACUCCAUGAAGUUGGAAUCGCUAGUAA
rnacentral:rRNA from 1 species